rnacentral:rRNA from 1 species
AGGCGAAAAGAACCCCGGCGAGGGGAGUGAAAAAGAACCUGAAACCGUGUACGUACAAGCAGUGGGAGCACCCUUUGGGUGUGACUGCGUACCUUUUGUAUAAUGGGUCAGCGACUUAUAUUCUGUAGCAAGGUUAACCGAAUAGGGGAGCCGGAGGGAAACCGAGUCUUAACCGGGCGUUAAGUUGCAGGGUAUAGACCCGAAACCCGGUGAUCUAGCCAUGGGCAGGUUGAAGGUUGGGUAACACUAACUGGAGGACCGAACCGACUAAUGUUGAAAAAUUAGCGGAUGACCUGUGGCUGGGGGUGAAAGGCCAAUCAAACCGGGAGAUAGCUGGUUCUCCCCGAAAGCUAUUUAGGUAGCGCCUCGUGAAUUCAUCUCCGGGGGUAGAGCACUGUUUCGGCUAGGGGGCCAUCCCGGCUUACCAACCCGAUGCAAACUGCGAAUACCGGAGAAUGUUAUCACGGGAGACACACGGCGGGUGCUAACGUCCGUCGUGAAGAGGGAAACAACCCAGACCGCCAGCUAAGGUCCCAAAGUCAUGGUUAAGUGGGAAACGAUGUGGGAAGGCCCAGACAGCCAGGAUGUUGGCUUAGAAGCAGCCAUCAUUUAAAGAAAGCGUAAUAGCUCACUGGUCGAGUCGGCCUGCGCGGAAGAUGUAACGGGGCUAAACCAUGCACCGAAGCUGCGGCAGCGACACUGUGUGUUGUUGGGUAGGGGAGCGUUCUGUAAGCCUGUGA